GAUGAACGCUAGCGGCAGGCUUAACACAUGCAAGUCGAGGGGCAGCAUAAUGUAUAGCAAUAUAUAUGAUGGCGACCGGCGGACGGGUGCGUAACGCGUAUGCAACCUUCCCUGAACAGGGGGAUAAUCUGGAGAAAUCCGGUCUAAUACCCCAUAACAUUAGUAACGGCAUCGUUAUUAGUUGAAAUUUUCGGAGGGUCAGGAUGGCAUGCGUAGCAUUAGCUUGUUGGUGAGGUAAUGGCUCACCAAGGCGACGAUGCUUAGGGGGACUGAGAGGUUAACCCCCCACACUGGGACUGAGACACGGCCCAGACUCCUACGGGAGGCAGCAGUGAGGAAUAUUGGUCAAUGGGCGGAAGCCUGAACCAGCCAUGCCGCGUGCAGGAUGACGGCUCUAUGAGUUGUAAACUGCUUUUGUACGAGGGUAAAGUGAGGCACGUGUGCCUUUUUGAAAGUAUCGUACGGAUAAGGAUCGGCUAACUCCGUGCCAGCAGCCGCCGCGG
rnacentral:rRNA from 1 species